rnacentral:sRNA from 1 species
GCCAGGCACAGUGACGCAUACCUGUAAUCCUAGCUACUCAGGAGGUUGAGGCAGGAGGAUCACAAGUUCAAGGCCAGCCUCAGCAACUGAGACCCUGUCUCAA